rnacentral:rRNA from 1 species
CGCCGCGUGGGGGAUGAAGGCCUCUGGGCUGUAAACCUCUUUUCUCAAGGAAGAAGAACUGACGGUACUUGAGGAAUAAGCCACGGCUAAUUCCGUGCCAGCAGCCGCGGUAAUACGGGAGUGGCAAGCGUUAUCCGGAAUUAUUGGGCGUAAAGCGUCCGCAGGCGGCCUUGUAAGUCUGUCGUUAAAGCGUGGAGCUCAACUCCAUUUAAGCGAUGGAAACUGUGAGGCUAGAGUGUGGUAGGGGCAGAGGGAAUUCCCGGUGUAGCGGUGAAAUGCGUAGAUAUCGGGAAGAACACCAGUGGCGAAGGCGCUCUGCUGGGCCAUAACUGACGCUCAUGGACGAAAGCCAGGGGAGCGAAAGGGAUUAGAUACCCCUGUAGUCCUGGCCGUAAACGAUGAACACUAGGUGUCGGGGGAAUCGACCCCCUCGGUGUCGUAGCCAACGCGUUAAGUGUUCCGCCUGGGGAGUACGCACGCAAGUGUGAAACUCAAAGG